AUGACUAGGGAUAACCUUAGGAAGAGACACAUCAUCAAACCCCUUGAUUGUGUUUACUGCUUGGAACAAGAGCUUUGUUCUCACCUAUUUUUUGAAUGUAUAGUUGCUAAACAUCUCUGGGCCCACAUUGAGGAAUAUUUCUCUAGUCAGAUUGGCUCAUCCUUCGAAUAUGUCGCCAGAUUCUAGAUUGCUACCAAAAAGUUUUCAGUUUUAAACACUGUUAGCUCAGCUGUCCUUUGGUGCCUCUGGAAAUAUAGAAAUGCUCUGAUUUUCAGUAACACCUCCUGGAUUUCCAUUCCGCAGGUCUUGAGGUUGAUCAGGGACAUGGUGAGGAACUGGGCGAUUCUCUCCUCCGGAUCGGACAAGGACAAGUUGAUGAGCUUCGUGGAAACCAUAACAAGAUCCCUACAGAAACCGUUGGCGAUCACUUGUGGCUAA
rnacentral:rRNA from 1 species